rnacentral:rRNA from 1 species
GACGAACGCUGGCGGCGUGCUCAACACAUGCAAGUCGAACGGAAAGGCCCUGCUAUUGUGGGGUGCUCGAGUGGCGAACGGGUGAGUAACACGUGAGUAACCUGCCCUUGACUUUGGGAUAACUUCACGAAACUGGGGCUAAUACCGGAUAGGAGCUCCUGCUGCAUGGUGGGGGUUGGAAAGUUUCGGCGGUUGGGGAUGGACUCGCGGCUUAUCAGCUUGUUGGUGGGGUAGUGGCUUACCAAGGCUUUGACGGGUAGCCGGCCUGAGAGGGUGACCGGCCACAUUGGGACUGAGAUACGGCCCAGACUCCUACGGGAGGCAGCAGUGGGGAAUAUUGCACAAUGGGCGGAAGCCUGAUGCAGCAACGCCGCGUGCGGGAUGACGGCCUUCGGGUUGUAAACCGCUUUCGCCUGUGACGAAGCGUGAGUGACGGUAAUGGGUAAAGAAGCACCGGCUAACUACGUG